rnacentral:rRNA from 1 species
CCUACGGGUGGCAGCAGUGAGGAAUAUUGGUCAAUGGUCGGGAGACUGAACCAGCCAAGCCGCGUGAGGGAUGAAGGUACAGAGUAUCGUAAACCUCUUUUGUCAGGGAACAAAGGCGGGGACGCGUCCCCGGAUGAGUGUACCUGAAGAAAAAGCAUCGGCUAACUCCGUGCCAGCAGCCGCGGUAAUACGGGGGAUGCGAGCGUUAUCCGGAUUUAUGGGGUUGAAAGGGUGCGCAGGCGGUCUGUUAAGUCAGCGGUCAAAGCCCGGGGCUCAACCCCGGCCCGCCGUUGAAACUGGCAGUCUCGAGUUGGAGAGAAGUAUGCGGAAUGCGCGGUGUAGCGGUGACAUGCAUAGAUAUCGCGCAGAACUCCGAUUGCGAAGGCAGCAUGCCGGCUCCACACUGACGCUGAGGCACGAAAGCGUGGGUAUCGAACAGGAUUAGAUACCCGUGUAGUC